rnacentral:lncRNA from 1 species
CACCAUGCACAUAGCCCACCAACCAAUGGAGAAGACCAGCAGAACAGAUAGUAGGCUAUCUCUUCCAGCCUCAAGCCCCAAUGCUGUCAUUCCUAAGUUGAGACAUUGAAGUCUCUCUGCCUCCCUGGUACAGAGUCUGUUUGCCUUAUCUUGUCCAUGAACCAGAGUUCCUUCAAGUCCUUUCUUGCUCUGCAGUUCUACAAACCAGUGAGCCUGCUCUUGCCUCCAUGCUUGUCCUAGGCUGAUGCUGCUCUGCUACUACUCAGUUAAAGAAACAUUGGCCCAAGAGGACAGGCACAAGGACAGGUGGAAGAAGAAAGCUGUCCUGCCACCAGGAGAUGGCACGGUGGUAUGGCAGUCCCAGGCCUCAGAGAGAGCAGACAGACACUGGAGAUCCAGGCAAGAGUAGCUCAAGGUAAGGGUGUUCUGGAGUAUACUUUGGGGGACAAAGGGCAGAAGAAGAAAGUUGUCCAUGAGUUCAC